rnacentral:rRNA from 1 species
CGCGUAGGCGGAUGUUACAGUCAGGCGUGAAAUUCCUGGGCUCAACCUGGGGGCUGCGUUUGAUACGUGAUGUCUGGAGUUCGGAAGAGGGUCGUGGAAUUCCCAGUGUAGAGGUGAAAUUCGUAGAUAUUGGGAAGAACACCGGUGGCGAAGGCGGCGACCUGGUCCGAUACUGACGCUGAGGCGCGAAAGCGUGGGUAGCAAACAGGAUUAGAUACCCUGGUAGUCCACGCCCUAAACGAUGCAUAUUUGGUGUGGGCCAUUCAUUUGGUCUGUGCCGGAGCUAACGCGUUAAAUAUGCCGCCUGGGGAGUACAGUCGCAAGGCUGAA